GGGCGGUUAGCUCAGCGGUAGAGCACUGCCUUCACACGGCAGGUGUCACAAGUUCGAUCCUUGUACCUGUCU
rnacentral:tRNA from 1 species